GGAGGUGCAGCUCAGUGGUGGAGCACUCACCUAGUACGUGUGAGGCCCUGGGUUUGAUCCUCAGCACCACAU
rnacentral:tRNA from 1 species